CCUACGGGAGGCAGCAGUGGGGAAUAUUGGACAAUGGGGGGAACCCUGAUCCAGCGACGCCGCGUGAGUGAAGAAGUAUUUCGGUAUGUAAAGCUCUAUCAGCAGGGAAGAAAGAAAUGACGGUACCUGACUACGAAGCCCCGGCUAACUACGUGCCAGCAGCCGCGGUAAUACGUAGGGGGCAAGCGUUAUCCGGAUUUACUGGGUGUAAAGGGAGCGUAGACGGCGAUGCAAGUCUGAAGUGAAAGGCGGGGGCCCAACCCCUGGACUGCUUUGGAAACUGUAUGGCUGGAGUGCAGGAGAGGUAAGUGGAAUUCCUAGUGUAGCGGUGAAAUGCGUAGAUAUUAGGAGGAACACCAGUGGCGAAGGCGGCUUACUGGACUGUAACUGACGUUGAGGCUCGAAAGCGUGGGGAGCAAACAGGAUUAGAUACCCCAGUAGUC
rnacentral:rRNA from 1 species